GAACUCAUGUUAAGGGUAGAUUCGGCAGCAUUGGUUAAGUUGUCAUUCUGGGAUAGGAAUGCGUGGCAGCAAGGAACUGUAUUGAAAACACCAAGUCAUCCAAUAACCAUUAGUAGAGUGACAAUUUUUGCUCAUUAGUAAUUAGGCUUAUUUCAAAUCAGCGUGGUAGCUUUUGAGGUUCCAAAGCCCAUGAGAAAGCUAGCCCUCCCCAUCAAUGCACUUGCUUAAUCUUUUCUCUAUCUUUAGUGUCAAAGUUCAUAUGAAACUGCUUUGCUGAAGUCUGAAGAGACUUAAUAGCAUUUUAACUCAAAAACCAAUCUUAAAUGUUUUCAUUUUUUAAAAUAUAUUAAUUCUGAUGGGGGCUUAUGAAAAGGGCUCCCAGAGAGUAUUUUAAUAUAAAAAAUAUACCAGAAUACUAAAAUGACACUUGUCCAGGGUUUUGUGCAGUUUCUCUGAUUGGUGAAAGUAAAUUAGCUUUUUCAAUAUCUGUCAAUAGUUGUGACCAAUAAUUCUGGAAUAUAGAUUAGAGCACAGCUACAUCUUGCUGUGUGACUGGACAGGUCAUCUUUCAACUGUAAUAAUUAUAAAGGUAGAAUGAAGCUGCUUACAUGUUUUUCUGAGAGUAUAGCGUAAAGCUUUUUUUAAAUUAUUUUCUUCCUCCCCCCACUUUAUUUUCAGUCAUUUAACAAUCUCAAGAGCUGAAGAAAAAGUGUCAAAAUAAAAUUUCAACAACUCCCCUCUAUGGCGGCCCCCCAUUAUUUUUUCCAUUUUCCAAGCAGCUCUGCAGUUCAGCUAUCAGUUAAGUCCAUGCAACAUUGUCUCUAAAGCAAGGGUGGGCCACAUCCGGCUCGCAGAACGAUCCUGCUCACCCCCAGCUCCUGGCCCGGGAGGCUCACCCCCGGCCCCUCCCCAAAUGUUCCCCCUCACCCACAGCUUCAAGUCACUCACUCCACCACUCUGGGCAGCAGGGCUGUGAGCUCCUAGGGCAGCAUAGCUACAGAGCCUAGCCUGACCCGGUGCUCCGUGCUGCAUGGUGGCACCACCGGUGGUGUGACCUGGCUCUAGCUGGGUGGUGGAGCUGUAGCACCACCAGGUACCGGUGGUCCAGGCAGCAUGUUGUCUCCAUUCCACUCAUCUUGCCCAUUGCAUCCGAUCUGGAGGAUAAGGUUACUACUGUUUCCGCCAGUGUGGAUCAUUCUGAACUCUUCAGGGACCAGGAUGACUUGAAGAGGGAGAGGUUCAUGAAGACAGAGCACUGGUCUUGGCAUCCUACUCCUGCUAAGUCAGCAUGUGCUGCCUCCUGCAGCAAGAGGACAUCGAAUGAAGGGAGAAAGGAGAUGGAGGCUGCAACAAAAACUGGACCAUUAUUGGUCAGAAUGAGUAUGAUAACUUGUCUCUGCAGAGUCUCAACAAAUAUCAACAGCUAUGCUGAUUUAUACCAUCUUCUAACUGUAGUUCUGGAAUGUUCAGAUCUCAUAUUUACUCCUUGCACUGCAUUAAAAUUCAUAUGGAUAAAAUAUCCCUAUGCGAUAAUGGAACUUUAAUGGCAUAGGAAGUAUUUGAGUUGCCUUAAAAUAGGUAAAAAGAUACAGCAGUAAUAAAUAGAGUUUCAUGCCUUCUUCCGGAAUGGUACAGCUGAUGUUUAGUAAAAUAUUUAAUGAUAGUUCCCCGCCGUCCCCCCCAAGAGGCCUGCUCACACAUUGUGGAGUCGAAGUCGAGAUUUUCUGAGUAUGAAAAUAUUUGUCUGGGUAUGUCAUUCAAAAUACUUCUGCCCCUGCAUAUAUACAGCACAUUUACAGUAAACAAUUACUAAUGUCUACAUACCAGCACACAAAUUGUAAUUUGCAUGUCUAGACUUUAUUAUAUUUGGUUGCAACAUACCCCAGACAUACAAAUCAAUGUAAAUUUACACUUCAUUAGAUCUUUUUCUUCUUCUCCAAGUAAAACCAGAAUUUAAAAAGAAAUGUAGCAUUUUAGUGCAGGCACAUAUUAACAUUUUUAUAGUGGUUAAGCAUUCUAUGAAGCAUAUCCAUUGCUUCACAAUCAGACCCUAUUUUACAAGUCACUGUCUACCUUUAACAUUUUGUAUGCAUCUUUUUCAGGCCUUCAACACUUGUACUCUGAGUGAGGUAUGACAUUGUUCUUGCAAUGAGGUAUGAUUCAGCAGCAGGGUUCUAACUCUCAAGUACAAAAAUUCAGUUCUACUCAAUGGAAUUGGGAAACCAACACAAAAAAAUAACCCAGCUCUUGAGAAUUAUCUGAUCCCAUAGACCCCAAAGAGGGAGGAAAUGCCUGUCCUGUCUGUCAAAUCUUUUAUCGAGUACCUUUUAUAAUGUGCAUUUCUGAAGCAAGAUAAUCUAAAUUUGAUCAGUUUACUUUACUUUGUGAAGGUGGGGGUUGAGUGGGAGAAGAGGAGUAGGUUUGGAUUUUGUUUCUAAGUA